UCUCCGUUGGUGAACCAGCGGAGGGAUCAUUACCGAGUGCAAACUCAUAACCCUUUGUGAACCUAUAGCUGUUGCUUCGGGGGCUCGCUCGCGUGCGAGCCCGCCGGUAAUAUCAGUACCUCUGUUUGAACCCGACGAUACUUCUGAGUGUUCUUAGCGUACAGUUAAAACUUUUAACAACGGAUCUCUUGGCUCUAGCAUCGAUGAGGUAC
rnacentral:misc_RNA from 1 species